CGAACAGCGAUAUGUCUCGCCAAAAGGAGUACGUCAGUCCAGCGGGUCUUCGCCUGGAUGGCCGUCGCCCGCUGGAGGCACGGCGCAUGGACAUCGCAUUCAGCACGCUUUCCGCGUGUGACGGCAGUUGCGACAUCACGCUUGGGCAGUCAAAAGUGUGCGCAUGCGUCUUUGGGCCGCGAGAGUCGCUCCACAAGCAGGAGGCAAAGCACGAUAAGGGGCUCGUCACGUGCGAAGUGGCGGUCGCCGCUUUUGCUGGAGAAAACCGUCGCAAUCCGCAGAGGCGUAGCAAGCUCUCGGAGGACAUCGGCGCCGCUGUGGUGCAAGUGGCCCGCUCCGUCAUUCUCCUCUCCCAGUAUCCAAACUCGCAGAUUCACAUUUACAUCGAGGUCCUUCAGAAGGACGGGAACGAGAAAAUCGCGUGCGUCAACGCGGCGUGCCUCGCCCUGAUCGAUGCAAACGUUGCCAUGCGGGACGCGGUGUGCUGCAUCGAUGCAGGCAUUCUGGAUGAGCACAUGCUGAUAGAUUUGACAAACGACGAGUUGCGCUCUCAGUGUCCAGUGAUUGCGGCGGCAUUCACGGGACACGACACGCGGAACAUCAUUUGGCUGGAGACGGCGUCGCGGCUACCUCCAGACUCGGCGGCGCGGCUGCUCAAGUGCGCGGAGGAGGGUGCCACGAAGCUCUUUGAGACAGCAAUGCGAAAGGCGCUGGAGGAACAUGCAAAGAAGAUCUUGACGCUAAAAAGCUAGUUGCACCCGUGUUGUGCUUGGGACGGCAUCCCUGUGCUGCUGCUGCUGCUGCUUUCGGAAAAUCAACGGAGCAGCAGCUCAUUAAGUGUUUGAGGUAUCACCUAGGUUUUGGUUGGCCGCCUCAUCCACAGCACCUCCUAUUGCCCUCCCUCCCCCCUCCCCCCGCUUCCUCGCUUUUUGUCGUCGUGCAUCCAGCAGUUUUUUCUAGCACUAACCCUUCGAGUAACGCAUCGCUCCCUCCUUCCUUGCGAUUCCUUGGCAACUGCCCGCAAGAAGAAGCGAAGCGCAGAACAAC
rnacentral:misc_RNA from 1 species